UUUAAUUGAAGAGUUUGAUCAUGGCUCAGAUUGAACGCUGGCGGCAGGCCUAACACAUGCAAGUCGAGCGGUAACAGAAAGA
rnacentral:rRNA from 2 species